rnacentral:rRNA from 1 species
GAUGAACGCUGGCGGCGUGCCUAAUACAUGCAAGUCGAGCGAACAGACGAGGAGCUUGCUCCUCUGACGUUAGCGGCGGACGGGUGAGUAACACGUGGAUAACCUACCUAUAAGACUGGGAUAACUUCGGGAAACCGGAGCUAAUACCGGAUAAUAUAUUGAACCGCAUGGUUCAAUAGUGAAAGACGGUUUUGCUGUCACUUAUAGAUGGAUCCGCGCCGCAUUAGCUAGUUGGUAAGGUAACGGCUUACUAAGGCGACGAUGCGUAGCCGACCUGAGAGGGUGAUCGGCCACACUGGAACUGAGACACGGUCCAGACUCCUACGGGAGGCAGCAGUAGGGAAUCUUCCGCAAUGGGCGAAAGCCUGACGGAGCAACGCCGCGUGAGUGAUGAAGGUCUUCGGAUCGUAAAACUCUGUUAUUAGGGAAGAACAAAUGUGUAAGUAACUAUGCACGUCUUGACGGUACCUAAUCAGAAAGCCACGGCUAACUACGUG